rnacentral:rRNA from 2 species
GAAUACCAAAAUCAUCGUUGAUUAGCACACAGGUCGUUUAUGCUGUCUGGUGCAUGUUAGGAUUAGUGUCCUUGUUUAGCAUGUCAUCUCAUUUUAUCCCGACCUUUUGUGCUUUCUUGCUCAUUAAACCUAAAACCAUAUAAAGGAACUAUAAAAAAUUUUCAACCAUGGAUAUCUUGGUUCCCCUUCUUCGAACAGCGCCGCUCAGCGCUGUAAGCAAUGCGCAUUGCAAAAUUCCGCGAAUCAUGCAAUCCUUGAACGCAACUGGCGCUAGGGGGCUCUCCCUCUAACAUGUCUGUUUGAUGUCAGAAAACUUCAUAUCUUCCAUUAUGUGAAAGAUGAUCUCAUGUUAUAUGUAGGAUAGCUUGACUCCCAUAUAAAAUAUAAGUGCGGGUCUCUGAACCCCAUACUGAAAUGUGCAUCUAUAUCGAAUGAUUAAAUUAGGGAUUGUCUCCGCUACCUGGAUAACCCUGUGGCCCUCCUGGUUCAGGGUUGUAGCAUCUGAAAUCAAGUGCCAACACCCGCUGAUCUAGCGGCUAUCUAUUCACGUAGAUACCCGUUCUAGUUCAGAAUUGAUCGCAACGUUUCUAUUUCUAUAGAUACGGAAGGCGUGAGUGAACACGACCACUGCAUUCGAAGCAGCUUGAUUGAGCUAAUGCUUUGAACGCACGCUAGUAAAGUGGUAGAGUUUGCUCUAAUGCUUUGCAUUUUGCAACCUGAGCUCAGACGUGAUUACCCCGCUGAACUUUAAGCAUAUU